AUUCAAAGAUGAAAAAGACAACUUAGUUCCUCUCUUCCAGAAGCUCACAAUCUAGCAAUGGAGGAAAACAGAGUCCUAAUUUGGUGCUUUUUUUCACUAUACCAUAUGACCUCUCUUGGACCUUUUAAGGAAACCUCUCUGGGUCAACUGAUUCCCUACCACACACCAUGUGGGGAGAGACUACUGUGAUCAUCUUCCUCACUAGGACCACAUGGAGUAUGCAAUGGAUGUUUUUUUCAAGAAAGGGUCACUGGCAGACAGGAACAAUGUGCUAACCACCAGCUGUUAAGGGCCUAUGAAAUAUAUCAUGCAACUUCCUUUGGCCUGCAUGGCUUCAGAUGAGAAAUCUACUGUCAUUCAAAUUGUGUUUCCUUAUAGGUGUCUUCCCCAGGUGUCAAACAUGGCUGUAGGCCUUCAAUGCUGAUGAGGAUGAUGGACCCACCUAUACACCUUGUGACCAGCACAUAAUGAGAGACAGAAUGCCAAAUAUUUUCACCCUGUUCAUGACCAAGGUUCUGGAUCCUCAUUCUGUGCCUAGUGGACCAAAUCUAAUUGCAGGGAGUAUCAGAGGCUGGUACAACUUGGAUGGGUGGGGUUCCUCAUGGCUUAAUCAGGAAAUCCUUAGCCGAGUCUGAAGAGGGCAUCACCUGGGUGGUGGGAUCAUGAAUAAUUUUGUGUGUGUGUAUAUAUAUAUAUUUUAUAUAUAU